AGCGAACGGGAUUAGAUACCCCGGUAGUCCACGCCGUAAACGAUGUGCACUAGAUCGAGGGGUUCUCUGACGAUUCUUGGUCGAAAUGAAAACGGUAAGUAGACCGCCUGGGGAGUACGGUCGCAAGGCUAAAACUCAAAGGAAUUGACGGGGGCUCACACAAGCGGUGGAGCAUGUUGCUUAAUUCGAUGCAACGCGAAGAACCUUAUCCUGGGCUUGACAUAUAUGGAUUAACUUUGGGAAACCAAAGCCACACCCCUCGGGGUGGAACAUAUACAGGUGCUGCAUGGCUGUCGUCAACUCGUGUCGUGAGAUGUUGGGUUAAGUCCCGUAACGAGCGAAACCCUUGUCUUUAGUUGCCAGCGAGUAAUGUCGGGGACUCUAAAGAGACUGCCGGUGUCAAACCGGAGGAAGGUGGGGAUGACGUCAAGUCCUCAUGGCCUUUAUGCCCAGGGCUGCAAACGUGCUACAAUGGGGUGUACAAACCGAAGCAAGACCGCGAGGUGGAGCAAAUCGGAAAAAGCACUCCUCAGUUCGGAUUGGAGUCUGUAACUCGACUCCAUGAAGUCGGAAUCGCUAGUAAUCGCGUAUCAGCGUGACGCGGUGAAUGAGUUCCUGAGCCUUGUACACACCGCCCGUCAAGUCAUGGAAGCCGGGAGCACCCGAAGUCGGAACAUUUCAGUUCUGCCGAAAAUGAGUUCGGUAACUAGGACGAAGUCGUAACAAGGUAACCGUA
rnacentral:rRNA from 1 species